AGUAAAAGUCGUAACAAGGUUUCCGUAGGUGAACCUGCGGAAGGAUCAUUAAAGAGUAAGGGUGCUCAGCGCCCGACCUCCAACCCUUUGUUGUUAAAACUACCUUGUUGCUUUGGCGGGACCGCUCGGUCUCGAGCCGCUGGGGAUUCGUCCCAGGCGAGCGCCCGCCAGAGUUAAACCAAACUCUUGUUAUUUAACCGGUCGUCUGAGUUAAAAUUUUGAAUAAAUCAAAACUUUCAACAACGGAUCUCUUGGUUCUCGCAUCGAUGAAGAACGCAGCGAAAUGCGAUAAGUAAUGUGAAUUGCAGAAUUCAGUGAAUCAUCGAAUCUUUGAACGCACAUUGCGCCCCUUGGUAUUCCGAGGGGCAUGCCUGUUCGAGCGUCAUUACACCACUCAAGCUAUGCUUGGUAUUGGGCGUCGUCCUUAGUUGGGCGCGCCUUAAAGACCUCGGCGAGGCCACUCCGGCUUUAGGCGUAGUAGAAUUUAUUCGAACGUCUGUCAAAGGAGAGGAACUCUGCCGACUGAAACCUUUAUUUUUCUAGGUUGACCUCGGAUCAGGUAGGGAUACCCGCUGAACUUAAGCAUAUCAAUAAGCGGAGGAAAAGAAACCAACAGGGAUUGCCUCAGUAACG
rnacentral:rRNA from 1 species